AGGAUAUUAGUUAAAAUUUUAUAACAUUAAAUUUGCUCUUUAAAAUUAAAUUUAUUAUUUAUAUCUUU
rnacentral:tRNA from 1 species